rnacentral:rRNA from 1 species
AUUGAACGCUGGCGGCAUGCCUUACACAUGCAAGUCGAACGGUAACAGGUCUUCGGAUGCUGACGAGUGGCGAACGGGUGAGUAAUACAUCGGAACGUGCCUAGUAGUGGGGGAUAACUACUCGAAAGAGUGGCUAAUACCGCAUGAGAUCCACGGAUGAAAGCAGGGGAUCGCAAGACCUUGUGCUACUAGAGCGGCCGAUGGCAGAUUAGGUAGUUGGUGGGAUAAAAGCUUACCAGGCCGACGAUCUGUAGCUGGUCUGAGAGGACGAUCAGCCACACUGGGACUGAGACACGGCCCAGACUCCUACGGGAGGAAGCAGUGGGGAAUUUUGGACAAUGGGCGCAAGCCUGAUCCAACAAUGCCGCGUGCAGGAUGAAGGCCUUCGGGUUGUAAACUGCUUUUGUACGGAACGAAAAGCCCCGGGUUAAUACCCUGGGGUCAUGACGGUACCGUAAGAAUAAGCACCGGCUAACUACGUGCCAGCCGCCGCGGUAA